GGUUGAUCCUGCCGGACCCCACUGCUAUCGGGAUAGGACUAAGACAUGCUAGUCGUGUGACUCAGGCAAAACGAGUCACGGCACACAGCUCAGUAACACGUGGCUAAUCUGCCCUUAGGACAAGAACAACCCCGGGAAACUGGGGCUAACUCUUGAUAGGCAAAGAACUCUGGAAUGAGUCUUUACCUAAAUAGAUUCACGUUAUCCUCGUGAAUCUGCCUAAGGAUGAGGCCGCGACCGAUCAGGUUGUUGGUGAGGUAAUGGCUCACCAAGCCUUUUACCGGUGCGGGCCG
rnacentral:rRNA from 1 species